rnacentral:lncRNA from 1 species
GGUCUGGGAUGCUCUCACUGAUGGCUUCGUCCCCCGGGGCUCCCCCCGGCCCUGGCUGCUCCCAGGGGCUGAGGCCCCCGACGGCACCGACCCCCAGGUACGGCUGUGGCCCCCCCCCCUUGGCACCCCAACCCCACCGCAUCCCUGCAUGACCCCUGGGCGAUGCUUGACAGCUGUCAAUCGGCCCCAAGGCUCAGCGACCAUCAGAGCACUGCCAGCUACCCAAAAAUGGUAUUUUGGGGGUGACACAGCACCAGUGCAGUGCAUGUCCACAUUUUAGGGUUAAACCACACUGAAAUGGGCAAGAUUAAGCGUUUGGUUUGGCAACCUGUUCUUUGCCAAUUUGCCCCCAAGCCAGGGGUAAGGUCGUGUAUUUUUGGGGGUAGAAAAUAGUGUUUUCUUCAUUGUAGUGAGUUCAUGCUGUGAAUAGCUGCAGUUGGGGUUGUGGGAGGGCUGCAAAGAUGCUUCAAAAUCGACUGAAUUUAACCUGUUUGGAUAUUACGCAACCUGUUGAUAAAGGGGAAGAGAAGGUAAAUUUCUUGGGUUAUUUUCUGCUAAAAAGGUGAAAUAGCCUGUGAAAAGUGGUAAAAAAGAAGAUGCCUCCCUGUCCAACGUCUCCAUCCAACAUGUCCGUCCAUGACCUCCCCAUCCAGCAUUCCCCUCUGACAUCUCCCCGUCCGAUGUCCCCAUCCAAUGUCUCCAUCUGACCUCUUCCCCAUUCAGCAUCACCAUCCAUCAUGUCCCCAUCCAACAUCCCCAUCAAUUCCAUCCAGCAUCUCCAACACCUCCCCAUCCAAUGUCACCAUCCAAUAUAUUAAUUCAAAUGACUCUCCACCCAACAUCUCCAAUAUACCUGUACUUCUCCCUGUCCAACUUCCCAGGUUCAAUGUCUCCAUCCAACAGCUCCAUCCAGUGUCUCCCCAUCCGACAUCUCUACCCGUCUCCUUGCCACACCUCCCCAUCCAACACUUCCCUGUCCAUCAUCUCCCUCUCCAAUGUCUCCAGCAUCCCUGUGCAAAGUCCCUAUCCGAAGUCCCAUCCAACAUUUCCCCAUCCAACAUCUCCAUCCAUCUCUAUCCAGUGUCCCUGUCCAAUAUCCUUCCAGCCAACGUUCCCAUCCAAUGUCUCCAUCCAACAUCCCCAUCCAAUGUCUCCACCCAAUGCCACCAUCCAAUGUCUCCCCAUCCAGUGUCUCCCUGUCCAGCGUCCCCAUCCGUGUCUCCAGCCGAUGUCUCCCCCUGCAAACCCCCCCCACCCCAUGCAGCAUGUCCCCUAGAGCUGUGGUUCCCUGGUGGCUCUCCCUGUGCCAGGGCCAGGGCCGUGUCUGUGUCCGUGCUGGGGCCAUGCCUGUGCCGGGCCGUGCCUGCGGUGCCACCAAGGCGGCCCAGCCUGUGUCUCCUGCAGCUCUGCGAGAAGGAGGAGGAGGAGGAGCUCACUGAGAGGAGUGAGCAAGACUCGGGCAUCAAUGAGGAGCCGCUGCUGACAGCUGAGCAGGUCAUCGAGGAGCUGGAGGAGCUGAUGCAGAGUUCACCCGACCCCGAGGCUGACCCUGAGGGUGAUGAGGAUGAAGAAGAAGAGGAGGAAGAAACUGAGGCCGAUGCUGAAGGCGAAGGCGGCGGCAGGGGCACAGAGCCCAUCCUUCUGCGUGAGCUGCAUGCUUUCUCCCCUGCCUUCAACAACAACUGCUCCCAUGAAGGUACGGCCAGCAAAAUCCAGGCCACUCACUCUCUGGGGACAAUUCCAACCAAAUUGGACAAUUGAGCCUCUCCAGGCUUCAGGGCCGGCUUGCUCCAGUGUUUACGCAGUUUGGCCAGGAGGGGGCUCUUGGCAGAAAAUCAAUCCCACGGAUAUCUUGCUUUCAGCGUUGCUUUAAAUGCACCCAGGGUUUAGCCGAGCGCGCCAUGCGUUUUGCGAAAUGCCUUGCUCUAAAUGCAUUUUGCUAAAUGCAUUGCGCCUUUCCCUAAAGCACUCGGCAUUUUGCAAAACACACCGUGCCAUUCAUUAAAUGUACUGUGCCUUGCACCGACAGUGUUGUGCACCAUCCUUUCUCCAUGCACACUGAGCUUUUCACUACGCUUGCCCAGCAUUUUGCAAAAAUGCCUGGUGUGCUUCGCAUUUUGCUGUUUGCGCCCUGCAUUUCAGGAAGUGCGCUUUCUUGACAGCACCGUGCCUGGAACUGAAUGUGCUGGGUGCUUCACCAAGCCAUGCACCGUACAUAUUCCUAGCUGCACUGUGCAUUUUGCUGAGUGUUUCACUCCUCUGAAUGUACCGACUGCCACUAAUGCACGGCGCGCCAGGCAUUUUCCUGAUUCCACCAUGGAUUUUCCUAAGUCCGUGGAAAAUAUGGUGGUGGUUUUCACUAAUUGCGUUAUGCAUUUCCCCAAGAGCACCAUGCACGCUGCUAAGCGCACCAUGCAGCAUGCAGUACAUUUCUCUACAUUCACUGUGCGUGCCACUAAAUGCACCAUACGCUAGACUUUUCACUAAUGGCGUGGUGUGUGUCACUAAUUGCCCCAGGCAUUUUACUAAUUGCUCUGUGCAUUCCCCUAAUUGCACAGUGCAUUUCAUUUAUUGCACCAUGCAUGUCACUAAUUGCACCAGGCAAUGCUGCACUUGCUCUGGGCAUGUCAUUUAUGACUCUGGGCAUUUCAGUAAUUGCACGCUAUUUAUUUGUUGGUGGUCCAGUAAACGCACCGUGCAUCCCAUUAAUCAUGAGAUGCAUUUUAACAGUUUCAGUGUGCAUUUCAUUAUUUGCCCUGGGAAUUUCACUAAAUGUAGUGUGUGUUCAGUUGCACCAUGCAUGUCACUAAUUGCACAGGCAUGUUACUAAUUGCAUCAGGUGUUUCACUUACGCACUAUGGAUUUCACUGAUUGCUCCAGGCAUGUCACUGAUUAUAUCGGUCAUUUUACUAAUUGCACCAGGAGUGACACUAACUGCACCAGACCGGACAUGUCACUAAUUGCACUGGGCAUUUUACUAAUUGCACUGGGCAUGGCACUAACUGUACCGAGCAUUUCCCUAGUUGCCCUGUGCCUUGCACUUAUUGCACUGGGUGUUUCACCAGUUGCACCGGGCGGCACACUAAUUGCCUCCCGUGUCGUAAUAAUUGCAGUGUGCAUUUCACUAAUUACGUAACGCAAUGUUCCAAACUUCAGUGGGCAUGUUGCUCGUUGCACUGUGCAUGUCACUAAUUGCACCAGGCAUUUCAUUUAUUGCACUGUAUGUUUCACUGAUUGCACCAGGCGUCCCACUAAUCGCCCCCAGCACCUUCAUAAUUGUGCUGUGUGCCUCGCUAGUUGCAUAAGGUAUUUUGCAGGCUUCAGCGUGCGUUACGCUAACUGCACCGGGCGUCCCGCUAAUUCACCAGGCAGCGUUCCCUAGUUGCAGUAUGCAUUGCACUUGCUGCACUGGUGCCUCACCAGUUGCACCGGGCAGCCCGCUGAUCACCCCGCGCAUCUUAACGACCGCAGCCUGCAUCGCGGUAACUGCGGAAAGCGUUUUGCAAGCCUUAGCGCGCAUUUUCCUAACCGCGCCGGGCUUCUGCACGAUCGCUC